CGGUAGCUCAGUCGGUAGAGCAGAGGACUGAAAAUCCUCGUGUCGGUGGUUCGAUUCCGCCCCG
rnacentral:tRNA from 3 species